AACGAACGCUGGCGGCAUGCCUAACACAUGCAAGUCGAACGAGACCUUCGGGUCUAGUGGCGCACGGGUGCGUAACGCGUGGGAACCUGCCCUUAGGUUCGGCAUAACUCCCCGAAAGGGGUGCUAAUACCGGAUAAUGUCUUCGGACCAAAGAUUUAUCGCCCUUGGAUGGGCCCGCGUUGGAUUAGCUAGUUGGUAGGGUAAAAGCCUACCAAGGCGUCGAUCCAUAGCUGGGAUGAGAGGAAGAUCAGCCACACUGGGACUGAGACGCGGCCCAGAAUACUACGGGAGGGAGGAGUGGGGGAUAUUGGAAAAUGGGGGGAAGGCUGAACCAGCAAUGACGGGAGAAUGAUGAAGGCAUUAGGGUUGUAAAGCUCUUUUACCCGGGAUGAUAAUGACAGUACCGGGAGAAUAAGCUCCGGCUAACUACGUG
rnacentral:rRNA from 1 species